CCCCAGACUUACUUCACAACGUCCCUGGUGUGAAAAUAAAUCAGAGAGAAGGAGAAAACAAGAAUAAAUUUUAUUUUUUUUUUUGGGUCGAGAUACUUACCUGGCGCGGAGCAGCCUGACAGAGCAAGACGCGGUUGCUCCGGUAAAGGAUGCUCUGGAAUAAGAGCAGCCAGCUGCUUGCUCCAGUCAAGGGUCUCGGAUUUUCUGAUUUAUGUCCUGAGACUCAACAAACUAAAAACAAAAAUAAGUAAAAAGAAAAUUCUAAUGUUAAUGACACUUACCAGUGGGUUGCCUCCCACCAAGCGCUUGGUUUAAGUCUCUAGCUUGACUUGGUGACUGGGAUCAAUCGGGUUGAGCAGGAGGGCUUGUUCCAAAACAAGCUCCACAAUCAGACAUGUUCAGCUCCAGAACUCUGCUCAACAACCCUUUCACAGCAGCUUUCCCUUUCUCCUUCAGCUCAUGUGUGAGAAUAGCUCUUACUUUAGAGAAAGGUUUAGAGGUACCCUUGCACUUUACCUCAUACUCAAUGGAGUUCUCAUCACACUUGAGAGGUAUCAAAGUCAUUGUAGGAUCUCCCUUGAUCAUUUUCUUCUGGACUUUCUGUUUCACUCUUGAAUUCCCUCUAAAUUUAGUAGGAUCAGUGCUAGGAUCUUCAUCAGAGAACAGCCUGCUCUCACCCUUAUCACCAUGCUCCUUCUCUAGAACAAUCUUCAGCUUUUUUACAUAAGAUGCGAGAGGCGUGUGAUGAGGAAGAUCUGGUGGGUACAGCUUUGUAGAAAACUUUCUUGUUGAUGUUGGAGAAGCAGACUGUAAUAACCCUCAUGAGCCAGUUAAUUUUUGGUCGAGAAAAACUCCGCUCGACCAGUUUUGAGUUGGUCGAUCAGAUUUAAAAAUAAAGUCGACCCGGUGAAUUAAUACCUCGACGGGACUGUCUUGUGGUCGAAAGGCCUCUCAUUGAUAGUUCUGGUAGAGUGUUAAUAAUGUUGGUCGAAUUUUAUUUAAGCUAGGCAAGCUUAGUUGAAAGCAAGACGAGAUUCGAAGGAUGAGAAAUUUUAGUCGAAAACUGUCCGAAAUUGUCGUUAAGUUUCUUAACUAAAUUCCGACCAGUCUAAUACCUUCACCAGCUAUUCUUCUUGCUUUCUCAGUAAAUCAGUCACAUGAGCUGCACCUACCUGCUUGCUUGCUUCACUAAAGUCACAUGAAAGUCACAAGCUGGUUGCUUGUUUAAUAAAAACAAAAUAAUCUUUCUUCAAAGGAGGGAAAGGACAGCAACUUGCUUUGGUUUAAGUAAACCCUCACCUGAAGCAACUUCUUAUGUUAUAAAACACCAUCUUCUCUCCUCUGGACGUUCAUAACCUGCAAGAAAAACCAGAGAAAAAUUCAGAGAGAAAGAGAGAAAGAAGAGAGAAAAAUUUGUGAGAAAAACUAGUUGAAAAAUUCAGAAACAAAAUUUAGAGAAGAGAAUUGAGCAUGGACAAACCUUUCUCACCAUCCUGUGACUUUAUCCAGUGUGUACUGGUGUGGUUAAGAGCUGAAGGUUUGGUGUCCAAGAGUUUAGAAUUACCCAUAUUCUUCAGCCUUUGAUUUUGAUCGGUUAAUUCGUGGUUAACUUGAAGAGAGACAACCAGUCAAGUUUAAUUAGUUGAGUAAAACCGAUGGCCAAGGAGAGUAUUCGGAUCAGCCGGAUCCUUAUGAUGGUUCUAAACCGAGAGUGAUCCAGAAGUGAAGUGUGAUUAGCUUGAGCUCGAGUCUAGUCUUCCUUAGCCAAUCUCAUGGAUUUAAAGGUAACCAGUAGGUGGGAGACCUUUACUCUAGGAUGGGAAGGAACGGCAUUAGCCAGCGGUAGUUUUAUUAUCCUUGCAGUCGUUUUGAUAUACUUUAUGUAUAAGGUUUGUUGACCGAAAACCUCGAGGUUAAUCUAUAAGAUUUUGUAAGAUUCUUUUAAAUGAAUAAGUAUAUAGUGUAUAAAGAAUGUUUUUAAAGUACGGGUUCCAAAUGAUAUUAGUCCUUGUCCGGACGAACCAACUAUUGGGUAUUACUCUUAAGGUUGUAAAGCCUCGGGUUGUACCUAAUAGGAUAUGUGUACUUAGGCGGUUGGCCUAAGGUACCUGGAUUUAUUUCGGGAACUUCGGGUUAGUCGUUUAUGUACACAUUGUGGCUUCUCGGUUUGGUUUCAGUUACGAGUGAUCGGCUGUGCAUGUUCUUGUUUGAUUGUUGCACGGCUGGUCGAGUCAACUUAUACUUAGACCAGAUCGGGGGUGUCACAAAGGUGGUAUCAGAGCAUGGUUAUACGAUGCUUGAAUGGGACUUGUUUCAAACGUUUUUCGAGUCAAAAUGAGUCGCAAGGAUAAUUCGGAUGUGCUGGCUAGUUCCUUCAUAUUAAGAUAGAUAGUCAUGGGUAGUUACCUUACUGUUAUCUUUCAUACGAGAUGCAUCAAGACAAGCUCGACGGAGUGGAGUGUUCUUACCAAUUUUGAUCCUGUUAAGAUCGAGAUUCCUACAAUCAUGAUUGAGCUUUCUACCGUCAUGAUUCGGUUUGUUAUCGUCAUGUUUUGGUUCAAUCCGGUCAUGCUUCAAUCCAUUAUCAUCAUGCUCGGGUGAGCUAACGAUGUGCUCGUGUUUGCUACCAUCAUGCUCGGAGUUGGUAUCAUCAUGCUUUCUCGCGGUUCCUACAAUUUCUAGUGUGGAUACCGAUAUUCAAAGAUAUAUGAGACAGAGUUGACACAUCAAUUACAUCUUUGGCCCGUGUUUUAUUGAAGUCAAAGUUGACGUUGUUGGUGAUGAUCCGGUUCAGAAUAUCCGACUUCAUAUGACUUAUUCUUUCGGCUGCUCAGUUCAAUCCAGCUUAUGCCCAAACGUACCAGAACCAGAGACGUACAAGCCUGAUUGAUUCAGCACUUGUUUCAAUCUUAACGUUGGUGGCGGAGAUAGUUCAGCAGUAGUUUAAGACGAUGGACGCACCAGCACCAUUCCGUUGCAACAAGACAUCUUGAAGUUUGUGAACAAGAUAAAGAAGUUGGGACAACACCGACAAGUACUAAACCAUUUGAUGUAGAUUUUGUAUAGAGGAAGAUUUCGAAUGCAACACUAGGAGCAGAACAACUAACAUGGCCCAUUGUUCACAAAAUUGCAAGAAAUAUAUGGAACCAUACAUCAUCAAGAAUGAUACAGUAAGUUGGUGAUUAAGCGUCAAGCAUCAUUUGGAAAAUGUUAGUCCAAGUUAGGCGGAUUUCUUUCAAGAGUUCAAGAUGGAGUGUUUUCUACCCAAAACAUGGGAGCGAUAUGGAAUUCGCACAGUGAGAUGUUUCCGCCAAGAUUUUGAAGUCAAGUUAAUCUGAUUUAUCCAUUAUGGUUUGGAGGAUGAGCUAAAGAUCAUGAAGAUGUACUAUUGUGACUUAGCCAUUAAUCUCAGAGUAACCCAAACUAUAAAGCUUAAGAGCUAUGAGGAGUUGGUGGAGGAUCACAUGAAUUCUAUAGAAGCCGUUUUUACUGAAGAAGUUUACUAAGUCAUGCAGAUUAUUUAAUUAUCAACCUAUUCAGAUAGAAGGUCAGUUUCAAGUAAUGAAUCAAGAAAGUCGAUGGAGAUAAUUUUUGUUGGACGUUUCAUCAGAUCAAGACCGAGGACCCUGAGUUGUUUUGGUUUUGGCUAGAAAGGAGAGUAAGGUGAUGAUUGUUCAAGUAUAUAAAAUCCUCGAUCGCUUACGUCAUUUGCGCUUCGGUGGUGCCAGUAAUGAGUACAGAGGUUAUCCUACCAUGGCCCAUGAAGUUACCCGAUCUUUUUACCUAUACCUAGGGUACCGCUUGUUAAACUUGUUCGCUUUCCUUACCAUUAGUCACUAACUAAGUGUUUGGCUAUUUGGGUAGAGCCUACACUUUAUAGUUGCCUGGACCGUCAAAACCUCUGAAAAGGUCCAAUCACAGGUUUGCUUCUUAUCCCAUUGCGUGUUGUGUGCAUUUUAAAAAUUUAUGAAUGAUUAAAUAAAUUAGUGAAGGAGUGAUCAAGGUGUCGUAUGAGACCUUGCCUAUGGACGGAAUUUUCCGCCCAUAUUGUGUUUGAUGCGGGAACAACACAUAGAUGUAGUUCUCGGGUAGUGUCAUUGUUUUAGGAAGGAUUCACUUUAGUGAAUUCAGGUACACUGUUCUUAUUCGUGGAAGUACUGGCUGCCAUUUAGAGUUAUGGUAUGCCUUCGUAUCCCAUCCCCAUUCCUUAGUACUUCCAUUAGAGCGGUUUGUUUCUAUCUAGAAUGAGAUUGGCUAUCUAGUUAUCGAGCUCAAUUAGGAUGUUGUUGAGGAAGGAAGUCUUUGAGAGAUGACCAGUUACCGUUGGCCUGCAGUCGUAUUCUACUAAGUGUUGGAGCCUCGCUCAUAUCAGUCUGGAGAGAAUAGAUAACGUUCAAGAUUGCAAGUAGAAAAUCAAGAUGGCUUAUUCAUUCGUAUUUGAGGAACUCAGUUGAACGAUGAGAAUCUAAGGAAUUCAUAGAAGGAACUGGGUGAAGAGAAUUUUGAAGAAUAGUAUGAGGACUGUGUCAUGUACAAGUUCAUAAAGUGGAGAUGUGGGAGAAGGAACCCAAAUUCAACCUAAAAUUAAGCAGAUGUGAAGUAAAUCCCAAGGAAGAUUGAAGAGUGCAAGGAAAAAGGUAUAACCAUAAGGCAUAUGGGAAUGCUCAAGUUGUUAAGAAAUUAGAAGAUGUAUUAACAGAGAAAGUGUGAAGUCAUCAUACAAGAGUACUUCGUUGGUAAAUCAAGUUUGGUAUAGGCGGACUUGUUGAUUCCUCAGUUACUAGACAGAAGAAGGAAAUCAGAAAGUAAUAGAACAAAACUUGGAUAUGCGAAACUUCAGUGAGAUUGAGUCGUUCAGAACUUUUUGAAGAGUAUCUCAGAUAGAUAAGAAGGGUAUGGAAUACUGUAAGGAAAAUCAUUCCUGGAAUAAGUGUGUGUGUGUGUAUUUGAGAGUGGCACCCUUGGUCUGAUCAUGUUAGCGUGAUUGAUCGUGCAUGUUCUUGUUUGAUUGUUGCACGGUUAAUCAAGUUGACAUUGACCAGACUGAAGAUGUUACCUUCACGUAUGGCACAUCACCUGACGUUCCAUAUUUCCAUGUUAUUGAACUGGAGGAAAGCAGAUAGAAAAGUUUCAGAAGUAAUGGUAUUCAGAGAUUCAACGAUGUCAAAGGAAGUAUGUAGACCGCAGUAUAUGAAAGUUAUGUGCGAUGAAGAAUUGGUUAUCGUGAAAGUGUUUGCUCAGAAAAGAAAGAAUUAUUUUAGAAAAAUUGGGGAAAUCCGCAAAUCUGUUAUUUGGUAUGUACCGAGUUGUUCAGAAUUGAAAUGGUUAUCUGUUGACCGGAACUUCUUUUAGUUAUGCUAUUGGUGAGCCGAUUUUGCGUAAUCUUAUAUCAGACCCAGUAUGAUAGAACUGCUGAGACAAGAAAACUUGUAACCCUAUUUAGCCUAUCCUAAAGGUCCUUUGCGGAUAGGUGAGCACCAUAUCAGAAGAUUGGAGAAAAGGAAAAAUUUGUAAAAGUUCAAGUAUUUGGGGAUAGGUGAGCACCAUCAGUUGUUUUGACACGGGCAGAUGAGGAUAAGUUCAGAGUUGGUUAUCUUAAACUUCUUGCAGAGACUCCAGUGUUCAGUAAAAGUCUGUACAGCUAUCUUUUGAGAAUUCGGGGACGAAUUCUUUUAAGGGGGGAAGAAUGUAAUAACCCUCACGAGCCAGUUAAUUUUUGGUCGAGAAAAACUCCGCUCGACCAGUUUUGAAUUGGUCGAUCAGAUUUAAAAAUAAAGUCGACCCGGUGAAUUAAUACCUCGACGGGACUGUCUUGUGGUCGAAAGGCCUCUCAUUGAUAGUUCUGGUAGAGUGUUAAUAAUGUUGGUCGAAUUUUAUUUAAGCUAGGCAAGCUUAGUUGAAAGCAAGACGAGAUUCGAAGGAUGAGAAAUUUUAGUCGAAAACUGUCCGAAAUUGUCGUUAAGUUUCUUAACUAAAUUCCGACCAGUCUAAUACCUUCACCAGCUAUUCUUCUUGAUUUCUCAGUAAAUCAGUCACAUGAGCUGCACCUACCUGCUUGCUUGCUUCACUAAAGUCACAUGAAAGUCACAAGCUGGUUGCUUGUUUAAUAAAAACAAAAUAAUCUUUCUUCAAAGGAGGGAAAGGACAGCAACUUGCUUUGGUUUAAGUAAACCCUCACCUGAAGCAACUUCUUAUGUUAUAAAACACCAUCUUCUCUCCUCUGGACGUUCAUAACCUGCAAGAAAAACCAGAGAAAAAUUCAGAGAGAAAGAGAGAAAGAA